rnacentral:rRNA from 1 species
GAUGAACGCUGGCGGCGUGCUUAACACAUGCCAGUCGAACGAGAAGUGAAGACGGAAACCUUCGGGCGGAAGGCUUUAUUUCGAGUGGCGGCCGGGUGAGUAACGCGUGGGUAACCUGCCUCAUACAGGGGGAUAACAGUUGGAAACGACUGUUAAUACCGCAUAAGACCACAGCACCGCAUGGUGCGGGGGUAAAAACUCCGGUGGUAUGAGAUGGACCCGCGUUCGAUUAGCCAGUUGGCGGGGUAACGGCCCACCAAAGCGACGAUCGAUAGCCGAUCUGAGAGGAUGACCGGCGACAUUGGGACUGAGACACGGCCCAAACUCCUACGGGAGGCAGCAGUGGGGAAUAUUGCACAAUGGGGGAAACCCUGAUGCAGCGACGCCGCGUGAGUGAAGAAGUAUUUCGGUAUGUAAAGCUCUAUCAGCAGGGAAGAAAAUGACGGUACCUGAGGAAGAAGCCCCGGCUAACUACGUG